rnacentral:rRNA from 1 species
GACAGAGGGUGCAAACGUUGUUCGGAAUUACUGGGCGUAAAGCGAGUGUAGGUGGUUGUCCAAGUUGGAUGUGAAAGCCUUGAGCUCAACUCAAGAAAUGCAUUCAGGACUGGGCGGCUAGAGGACCGGAGAGGAUAGUGGAAUUCCCAGUGUAGUGGUGAAAUACGUAGAGAUUGGGAAGAACACCAGUGGCGAAGGCGGCUAUCUGGACGGUUUCUGACACUAAGACUCGAAAGCGUGGGGAGCAAACAGG